CAUAUGCCAGCCGUGAAAAGUGAAUACUUUUCACAACGCACACAACGUUCGCCGUUAAAAGUAUUACACUUUUUACAACACACAUCGCAUGCUGUUAAAAGUAUUGCCUUUUUACGACGCAUAAUGCAUGUCGUGAAUUGUAAGAACAAAAAAAAAUGCCAAAAUAAAAUUUGGGGCGCUACUCACAAGAAAAAAAUAUAUAUAUUAGAAAAAAAAUUUUCCCCCAAAAUAACUAUUUUGCCUUCCUUUAAUUAGAAUGGAACAUCACAAGGAUUUCAAUCUCUCUAUCUCUCUCUUUCUCACUCUCUAAUGAUGAUGAAGGCCGAAUCAAUUGCUAGGGUUACCAGGAUCAUCUCAUAUCUUCUCUUCAGUUGUGUAUCUAAAAUCAAAUCAAAGGUAUCUGUCGUUGUCUUAUGCUUCUUUUCUCUUCUUGGUUGUGUAUCUGAAAUCCCUAAUUCAUUCUCACUCCCAGCCCAGUCCUACCCUAGUCUCUUUCGCUUCUUUCUCUUUCAGCGGCCGUAACACUAUGUGCAGUACCCAUACGGUGACGUGGUGGCGCCGCCCUAUUUCAACCACAACAAUGGCGUCUCUCAUCUCUGGCUUCCUCUCCAAACUUUUCCAAAAUCUCAGCAAUAUUGUUGCCGGAGGGUAUUGAGAAGAAAGUGGGUGUGAAAGAAGAGAUUGAGGGUUCGGAGAGUCUUUGAUCUUCGGAGCCAUUGAUUAGCCCCCAAUCACAUUAUGGUUCGAAUACAAAACCUGAUUUGGGGGGUUUUGAGAAGAUCUCUGUAAAAAAAAGAAGAUUUUAUGAAUGGGUUUUAUGAGUUUAAGAUCAUAAAGAGAUAGGUUACAAUAUGUUAAAGAGAAAAUGUCCUCCUUCAUUGCAGAAGUAGCAAUCUUCGAGAGUCACAGCAACAAUGGCCGCAAUGGUUGCUUUUCAGAGCUCAUUCACUUCUUUUUCUCUCUCCUCAAAUUCCUUUUUAGGCUAAUGCAUCCACAGUUCAAUGUCUUCUCCCAUUGUCUCUGUUUUGUUUCGUGUUAUUUGAUUUUGGGGUGAAACAUCUCAAAAUCGCCAUAUACAGUUCAAAUUUAAGGGUUAGUUAGUAGAUGCAAUUUAUGAUCCUUCAAAUGUCUUCUGGAAGUUUGAAGGCUUAUGACUUCCAAAUUUUGUGACCUCAUUCAAGGCUGUUUCGUUUCAUUAUCUCAUCUUUGAAGUCUGGAAGAUCUUCAUAUCUAAUGGAUGUUAUUGUGGGUCUGCUUUAUCCUAUAAUUUUUUUGCAGGUACAUGAUCUCCUCAAAUAUAGGUGAGGUUGCCUCAAUAUUUUUAACAGAGGCAUUAGGGGUCCCAGAAGGCCUAAUCCCUGUCCAACCCUUGUGGGUCAACCUUGUCACAGAUGGACAUCCUGCGACAGCCACCAGAUAGGGACAUCAUGAAGAAACCCCCUCGCUGAGGUGAUGACAUGCUCAUCAAUCCUUGGACUUUAUUCUGCUAUCUGGUAAAAAGUUUGGAAAAGAGAAAUGACCAGAAGUCUCCAACUACGCCCGAAACAAAACAAGAACAUUUCAAGGCCUUGGUUUAUCAAACAGCAACACCUUUCUUAAUCGAAAGAACCAAUCGGUUUGUAAAUGAGGUUGAACUGUUCCUAGCUUCGGGUUUGAAUAUUGAAGCCUAUGACAAAGUUUACAUGCAGCAUUUGGGUUGGAAAGUUUCUGGGAUUACCACUGAAGGAGAAGUUAGUGGAAAUGCACCUUUAGUUCCAUACCUGUUUUUGUUUGACGAGGACUGAUGAAAUUGAGUGAUCAUUUUGUCUUGAAAAUAUAAAUUAAUAUUUGUUUUUGUUUCAUUUGUUUUGUAAUCUUCAUUUGGUACUCUUUUGGACGAACAUUGUAGUAAGUUCUGUUUUGUGUAAAAAGAUGAGGUGUACCAAUGGAGAGAGAAAAAUAAGUCUUUAAUUUUUGGGGGGGUUCAUUUUGUUUUGAGUUUCAUUACCCCAAAAGGAGAUUUGUAUGUUGAGAGGUGAAACUUUUUGGGAAGAUGAUUGUGGCCCUAUUUCGAGCAGAUUAUUGGACAGAAUUGAGGAUAAACUGUGUAAUGUUUGUUGGGUUGUGUUUGUCUUUUGUUUUUUAUUUUUAUUUAUUAGAG